UUCAGAGGUCUCGAGCGUUGUUCGGAUUUACUGGGCGUAAAGGGAGCGUAGGCGGCCGGGUGUGUCGAAUGUGAAAGCCCACAACUCAACUGUGGAAUGGCAUUCGAAACUACCUGGCUAGAGUACUGGAGAGGAGAGCGGAAUUCUUGGUGUAGCGGUGAAAUGCGUAGAUAUCAAGAGGAACACCGGUGGCGAAGGCGGCUCUCUGGACAGAUACUGACGCUGAGGCGCGAAAGCGUGGGUAGCAAACAGGAUUAGAUA
rnacentral:rRNA from 1 species